rnacentral:rRNA from 1 species
AAGUCGUAACAAGGUUUCCGUAGGUGAACCUGCGGAAGGAUCAUUAUCGAAAUUAUUGGUGAGGGUUGUAGCUGGCCUUUCGAGGCAUGUGCACGCUCGAGCCCUUAAUCCACUUUACACCUGUGCACUUAAUGUAGGUCGCCCUUAAAAAAGGUGACCUACGUCUUAUCAUCAACCCAUCGUAUGUCUCAUAGAAUGUAAUCGAUAUCCUCGCCCUAAAAAAGCGUUGAUAAACUUAUACAACUUUCAACAACGGAUCUCUUGGCUCUCGCAUCGAUGAAGAACGCAGCGAAAUGCGAUAAGUAAUGUGAAUUGCAGAUUUUCAGUGAAUCAUCGAAUCUUUGAACGCACCUUGCGCUCCUUGGUAUUCCGAGGAGCAUGCCUGUUUGAGUGUCAUUAAAUUCUCAACUCCAAGGGUUUCACGACCUUUCGGAGAUUGGACUUGGAGGUGCUGGCCGCAUAUUGGUCGGCUCCUCUCAAAUGCAUCAGCGGAAUUCAAUCUUUGGCUUCCGGAUGUCAGUGUGAUAAUCAUGUUGCGCUGUCGUUUGAUCCCUCAGAGUCCGCUUAUAAUGGUCUUCGGACAAAAUCAUCAUCAAAUUUGACCUCAAAUCAGGUAGGACUACCCGCUGAACUUAA